rnacentral:rRNA from 1 species
AGAGUUUGAUCCUGGCUCAGAUUGAACGCUGGCGGUAUGCUUAACACAUGCAAGUCGAACGGUAACAGGCUAGCUUGCUAGCGCUGACGAGUGGCGGACGGGUGCGUAACGCGUAGGAAUCUGCCUAUUAGUGGGGGACAACAUGGUGAAAACCAUGCUAAUACCGCAUACGCCCUACGGGGGAAAGCGGGGGAUCUUCGGACCUCGCGCUAAUAGAUGAGCCUGCGUUAGAUUAGCUUGUUGGUGAGGUAAUGGCUCACCAAGGCGACGAUCUAUAGCUGUUCUGAGAGGAAGAUCAGCCACACUGGGACUGAGACACGGCCCAGACUCCUACGGGAGGCAGCAGUGGGGAAUAUUGGACAAUGGGCGAAAGCCUGAUCCAGCAAUACCGCGUGUGUGAAGAAGGCCUGAGGGUUGUAAAGCACUUUCAAUUGGGAGGAAAACAGGCAGGUCAAUAUCCUGUCUCUUGACAUUACCUUUAGAAGAAGCACCGGCUAACUCCGUGCCAGCAGCCGCGGUAAUACGGAGGGUGCGAGCGUUAAUCGGAAUUACUGGGCGUAAAGAGUUCGUAGGUGGUUAGUUAAGUUAGAUGUGAAAGCCCCGGGCUCAACCUGGGAACUGCAUUUAAAACUGGCAAACUAGAGUUUAGGAGAGGGAAGUGGAAUUUCAGGUGUAGCAGU